CGAGUGAAGCGGCAAUAGCUCAAAUUUGAAAGCUGGCCCCUUUGGGGUCCGCGUUGUAAUUUGUAGAGGAUGAUUCGGCGAGGGCUCCCGUCUAAGUCCCCUGGAACGGGGCGUCAUAGAGGGUGAGAAUCCCGUAUGUGAUGGGUUGCCUUAGCCAUGUGAAUCUCCUUCGACGAGUCGAGUUGUUUGGGAAUGCAGCUCUAAAUGGGAGGUAAAUUUCUUCUAAAGCUAAAUACCGGCCAGAGACCGAUAGCGCACAAGUAGAGUGAUCGAAAGAUGAAAAGCACUUUGGAAAGAGAGUUAAAAAGUACGUGAAAUUGUUGAAAGGGAAGCGCUUGCAGCCAGACUUGUCCGCAGUUGCUCAGCCGGUCUCCUGACCGGCGUACUCUUCUGCGGCCAGGCCAGCAUCAGUUCGGGCGGUCGGAUAAAGACCCUAGGAAUGUAGCUCCUCUCGGGGAGUGUUAUAGCCUGGGGUGGAAUGCGGCCAGCCUGGACUGAGGAUCUCGCUUCGGCUAGGAUGCUGGCGUAAUGGCUGUAAGCGGCCCGUCUUGAAACACGGACC
rnacentral:rRNA from 1 species